rnacentral:sRNA from 2 species
GAUGAUUAGGAAGGCCAGCGACGCAAGAAGCAGAGUUGGCCCUUGACGACUACUAGUAGUUGCCAUGUGUUGUCGGGAUGGACCGAGAACAGCAAUAAUGCAAUGAGAACAGGCACCUGUCGAUAGGGCAAACUAGUAAUAUAAAUCAGACGUUCUAUACAUACACAGUACAUUUCAAUAUAAAUCAUGAGGAAAUUAUCCUUUUAGCCUAGUGGCAAAAGUCCAAUUCUCCAACAAGAAGGGGCAUUAGUCCAGAUGUGAAGGGUGGGAAGUUUGGGUUCACUGAUAAUGUUGGUUUGAUGGCCCCUGUGCGGUGAAACAUCACAAGUGAUUUCUCCGUGGUUCUCAUUUUUGACCUAAGGACAAGACCCCAGUAAUUUGAGAGCCUCAGAGGAGAAGGGGCAGCGCUCGGCAGGUGCUUUCUUUCUUGGAGAGACGGGUGGAAGUGGAAGAAAUAUUUCGAAAAGAGAAA